AAAAUGUAUGUAGUGACCUUUCAGUGAAAAAGAAAAAAAAAUUGAGACUAGAACUCCAUUAUAAAAAUAAGAGCAGACUGACUUCAUCCCUGACAUCUAUUAGCAUUUAUGCAUUUUACUCACUACGUUCUGAGGGUGCUAUGGUUUGAAUGUCUCCCCCAAAAGUUCAUGUGUUGAAAACUUAAUUGCCAUAGGAACAGUAUUAAGAGAUAGGGCCUUAAAGAAGAGAUUAGGCCAUGAGGACUCUGUCCUCAUGAAUGGAUUAAUACCAUUAUCACAAGGGCAGUUAUUAUGGAAGUGAUUUCUUGAUUAAAAAAAAGAAAGAUGAGUUCAGCCCAAGUUCUUCUGUGCUUUGCAUACUCGCUGCUGCCUUUCUGCCUUCUGCCAUGGGAUAACCCUCACCAGGUGCCAGUGCCAUGCUCUUGGACCUCCAGAACUGUGAGCCAAAUAAACUGGUCUUUAUCAAUUACCUAAUCUGUGGUAUUCUGUUAUAGGGAGAGAAAAUGGACUAAGAGAGGAUCUUCUACAAGAAAAAUCCAGUUGUUUGUUUUUGAUGGGUUUCUCUAGGCUUCAAGGAAUUAAAAAAAUAUAACUAGUAAACUACCUAGUGCACAGAAUACUGCGACUUUAAUUGUUAAAUGUUCUUCAGAUUCCUUCUCAAAUUUUUAUCUAGAUUGAACAACUGGGAUUAAGAAGAAGAAAAGACCCAGCUGGGUGCGGUGGCUCAAGCCUGUAAUCCCAGCACUUUGGGAGGCCGAGACGGGCAGAUCACAAGGUCAGGAGAUCGAGAACAUCCUGGCUAACAUGGUGAAACCCCGUCUCUACUAAACGUACAAAAAAUUAGCCGGGUGUGGUGGUGCGUGCCUAUAGUCCCAGCUACUUGGGAGGCUGAGGCAGGAGAAUCGCUUGAACCCAGGAGGCAGAGGUUGCAGUGGGCCGAGAUCCUGCCACUGCACUCCAGCC
rnacentral:lncRNA from 1 species